GAAGAUCUCAAUGAACUUUUGGAACGAGAAAGAUCCUGAUUGGAGGAUGAGCUCUCCUGUGUUUUCAAAGCACUGGCCAGUUAGUACAAGAAGCUUGUGUCUUGCAGCAUCUGUGAUCAUUAAGCGCACCUAAGAAUGAGUUGAAAGGGGCCACUGAAGAGUAUGGAUCAGGAAGACCUCCACUUUGAUCUUAAAUGACCCUGAAGUUUGAACAGCAGAAGGACCCCGUAAUUAAAAGCAGGCCUAAUACGGGCUUGUCACUAAUUGUGCUGGAUGAUAAAAUCCAACAAUAUCCUUGGUGGGUCAAGGAUUUCUGUUUCAGAAGAGAACAUUGAUAAGUGUUGGCCGGCUGGCAGAUGAGCAGUUCUGGGCAGUCAGCCAGCUUAUGUAUGAAACCACCAGCUUUUUCAGCCACAAAAUUACUUCCUGUCUCAUGAACCACCCAUACAUGACUGUCAUAUAAUUCCCCUCAAUUUUGUUUAUUAACUGAUGAUUAAAGAGUUUCUACAGAGAUAAACUAUGACAGGAAAAAAAAAUACUUGCAGUUUUAAGAACAUAAUACAUAGCAUGUAUGGAAAAAAUGAAGAGACAAAGAUAAAAAGAGUAUAAUGAUGGCCGAAUGGGGGACUAUCAGAAUUCUGUGCAUUGAUAUUAGACCAUUACUUUUAAAAUAAAUUAUAAUAACGUAGCAUAAAAUGGAUCGAGAUAUGUUGUGUUCAACCCUAGCCUUGGUUGAAGCCCUAUAUUGUUCAAAGUAGAUGAAAAAUAUCAGGAAGUUACAUGUUGUUGAAAGAAAGCCCAGAAUUAAGUUAAAUAUAUGGUGUUUAAUGAGUUUGUCUGGCCCAAAGAAAUAGCUAAUUAGAAGUUUUUUCCAGAUGUGGUAAAGUUAUAAAAUUGUUAUAGCAAAAGAGCAGAAUCUUCUUAAAAUGAGAGAAACUGUCCAUAUACAGACUAUAGGAAAUGUAUUUUGUUUUGUCAGUUUUGAUGGGACAAGAAUGUUGCCUGUUUUGGACAUGUCUUUCCUAGGGAGUAUUUGCAGCUUACUGAACAUGUUAGGAUUUUUAGGCAGCAUCAUGCUCAGUGCAUAAACCUGCAUCAUUAAUUACCACAAGGCAGGUCCCAAAGAUUUACAGUCACACCAUGAACCUUCUUCUUUCCCACUCUGACAGAUAUUCCAUCCUGACUAGACAAGGAGAUGGAACUAAAUGACAUCAUCUCCUCUCUGGCUGUGUCCUGAGCUACUCCUGCGAUAUGAACCUAAUGUUCCUGAUUGCCAUAUGGUGGGGGAAAGAACAGCAAUCCUGAGGGACCACACAAGAGACAAAGAAGGAGAGGAAGGACAUGGAAAUGAGGAUGAGACAGGCACAAACAGGAAUGAGAGAAAGGGGAACAGAAAUAUACAACCGGCUGAUGGAAGAGGGAUGAAGCAUACAAAUGGAGAAGGACAGACACUUGAGCAUCAGGCUAGUGGCAGACCAGGAGAAUUAAAAGCCGAGCUUGAUCUUCCAUUCUCUGUGCCAGCAGGUGAGGAGCGUUGCAGGGGCAGUGCAUUGAGCCCCUGAGAGAAUAAGUAUGUGCCUGUGUUGCUUUCUGGUAGCCCUUUUAGUUUGACUCAUGGAGUAGUAUCAACAGUCUCUGGAGGAAGCUCUGCCAGAGGGAGGCAGAUUGUGAAAUAUCGUUUUUAGAACAAGAAUAAUAAAAGGAAAAAUCCGUCAGACAACUAAAAUGGAAGACUGAAGCAAAGAGGAGGAGAGAGAAAACCAAAAACAAAGAGAAGAAAAAAGAAAGCCUCUGUGUGUCAGAAAUAAAAGGAGUGGAGGGAAAAAAUAAACAUACAAAAUCAUGGGGAGGUGAAGACAUGCAAAGAAAAGAGGACAGAGCUAAGAAAAAAGGAAAGAAAUACAAAAUGGGUAGUAUAAUUUAAGAGGAGAGAUUGUAUUUAAAGAUUUUUGGCUAAUAACACUAUGGGGAAGUACCUCAAAGCAGCAUCCUGGAAACUCCAUAUUCACCCGUGUCAUAUAGUUAUGAUGUAUUUCAUACAAAGCAUGCCAUGUAAGAUACCACGUGAAAGAUCCUGAUCUGCUGAAACCCACUGUUCUGUCCAAAUAUAUAUAUUGUUAGUGUGUAUGACAUGAGAUUUUGCUGUAUGGUUGUUAGUGAAGUAUGUUGUGAGUUUGGAAGUCGCUCAAUGCUAGUUCUCCAGUGACAACAACAAAGGAGGUGCACAACACCCUGGUGGGCGUAGAACGAGCAUCACCAGCCAUUGACCAGCGGGAGAAUAGUAAACAAAGGAUUUACAAUUCAAUGACAGUUGCGUAAGCACCACACAACGGGGACUGCUCAACUUUAUGACUCAGUUGCACAAGAUCACACCAGGGGGAUUGCUCAAUUCUGUGACUCAGCAAAGCCCACCAGGUUAGUGUCUUCCAUGCACAUGGAAUGAAGAUAUAAAAUAGGGGACAGUGGCAUCAUGCUUUGGCCGCUCUCUUCUCCUACCUACGCUAACGCUGAGAAGACAAAGACUUGAACUGAGGAAACUGGUCCCAGCUUAAAGGGGAAGCCUGUGUGUUAAGAACUGUAACAUCUGGUGGGGUGAGAAAACUGCUUGAUCCAAAUACCUCGUCUAAUAAGAUUUAAGAUUUAGACUGGUGCUUACAUUUUAUUUUCUUUGACCUUUUGUGCCUAGAACUUAUAAUCA